UGAGUAACCUGCCCUUAACUCUGGGAUAAGCCUGGGAAACUGGGUCUAAUACCGGAUAUGACUCCUCAUCGCAUGGUGGGGGGUGGAAAGCUUUUUGUGGUUUUGGAUGGACUCGCGGCCUAUCAGCUUGUUGGUGAGGUAAUGGCUCACCAAGGCGACGACGGGUAGCCGGCCUGAGAGGGUGACCGGCCACACUGGGACUGAGACACGGCCCAGACUCCUACGGGAGGCAGCAGUGGGGAAUAUUGCACAAUGGGCGCAAGCCUGAUGCAGCGACGCCGCGUGAGGGAUGACGGCCUUCGGGUUGUAAACCUCUUUCAGUAGGGAAGAAGCGAAAGUGACGGUACCUGCAGAAGAAGCGCCGGCUAACUACGUGCCAGCAGCCGCGGUAAUACGUAGGGCGCAAGCGUUAUCCGGAAUUAUUGGGCGUAAAGAGCUCGUAGGCGGUUUGUCGCGUCUGCCGUGAAAGUCCGGGGCUCAACUCCGGAUCUGCGGUGGGUACGGGCAGACUAGAGUGAUGUAGGGGAGACUGGAAUUCCUGGUGUAGCGGUGAAAUGCGCAGAUAUCAGGAGGAACACCGAUGGCGAAGGCAGGUCUCUGGGCAUUAACUGACGCUGAGGAGCGAAAGCAUGGGGAGCGAACAGGAUUAGAUACCCUGGUAGUCCAUGCCGUAAACGUUGG
rnacentral:rRNA from 1 species